rnacentral:sRNA from 1 species
GGAACAACAGCCGCUUGCAGGCCGAGCUCUGCCAGAAGCAUUGGCAGGACCUGCCUCCCAGUAAGUGCCACAGCACCACCCAGAACCCCCAGAAGGAGACCAGCAGCAUGUGGGGCCUGAUGGUGGUUGCCCAGCUGCUGGCUGGCAUCGGGACAGUGCCUAUUCAGCCAUUUGGGAUCUCCUAUGUGGAUGACUUCUCAGAGCCCAGCAACUCGCCCCUGUACAUCUCCAUCUUAUUUGCCAUCUCUGUAUUUGGACCGGCUUUCGGGUACCUGCUGGGCUCUGUCAUGCUGCAGAUCUUUGUGGACUACGGCAGGGUCAACACAGCUGCAGUUAACUUGGUCCCGGGUGACCCCCGAUGGAUUGGAGCCUGGUGGCUAGGCCUGCUCAUUUCUUCAGCCUUAUUGGUUCUCACCUCUUUCCCCUUUUUUUUCUUCCCUCGAGCAAUGCCCAUAGGAGAAAAGGUAAGGUUCCAAGAGCCCAUGACUCUACCUGUCCUAGGAUGUGUAAGAAAGGGAUGUGGGGGUAGAAAAUAAAUAGAGCUAAAAAGCUGCAGCAUGUUAAGCAAAUUCAGGAUGAAAUCUAAACAAAUUUCAUGAUGCAGGACUUCCCAGAGGCUUUGAGAGGUGAGGGUGUUGGUGAAUUUCCAAAAGGUGGUAUCUCCUAUGUGUUCCCGUGCCAUGUUAGCAUCUCAAGGAUCAGGAGACCUCCAGGGAACAGUUUG